rnacentral:tRNA from 1 species
AGGGAUUUAGGAUAAUAUACAGACCAAUAGCCUUCAAAGCUUAAAGUAGGAGUGAAAAUCUCCUAAUCCCUG